AGGUCCCGUCAGAGCUAGGCAAGAUGUUGGCAUAGCUGAAUGAUCGCUAUAACAACUAUCAGCUUCGCCACAUUCUGCCACGCACUGAUGUGAGGACCU
ensembl:miRNA mir-72 miscRNA